UCCACCCUGUGGUCAGCCAGAAACAGCAAC
rnacentral:piRNA from 1 species